UACGUAGGGGGCGAGCGUUGUCCGGAUUUAUUGGGCGUAAAGAGCUCGUAGGCGGUUUGUCGCGUCUGCCGUGAAAGUCCGGGGCUCAACUCCGGAUCUGCGGUGGGUACGGGCAGACUAGAGUGAUGUAGGGGAGACUGGAAUUCCUGGUGUAGCGGUGAAAUGCGCAGAUAUCAGGAGGAACACCUACGGCGAAGGCAGCUCGCUGGGACGGUACUGACGCUGAGACGCGAAAGCGUGGGGAGCAAACAGG
rnacentral:rRNA from 1 species